CCUACGGGAGGCAGCAGUGGGGAAUCUUGCGCAAUGGGCGAAAGCCUGACGCAGCCAUGCCGCGUGUAUGAUGAAGGUCUUAGGAUUGUAAAAUACUUUCACCGGGGACGAUAAUGACGGUACCCGGAGAAGAAGCCCCGGCUAACUUCGUGCCAGCAGCCGCGGUAAUACGAAGGGGGCUAGCGUUGCUCGGAAUUACUGGGCGUAAAGGGAGCGUAGGCGGACAGUUUAGUCAGAGGUGAAAGCCCAGGGCUCAACCUUGGAAUUGCCUUUGAUACUGACUGUCUUGAGUGUGGGAGAGGUGAGUGGAACUCCGAGUGUAGAGGUGAAAUUCGUAGAUAUUCGGAAGAACACCAGUGGCGAAGGCGACUCACUGGCCCAUUACUGACGCUGAGGCUCGAAAGCGUGGGGAGCAAACAGGAUUAGAUACCCUGGUAGUCCACGCCGUAAACGAUGAGUGNUAGUGUCGCAUGCAUGCAUGUCGGUGACGCAGCUACGACAUAAGUACACUCCGCCGUCGGGAGGUACGGUCGCGAAGAAUUAAACUAACAAUAGAAGUAGACGGCGUGAGACGUGACGAGACGACGACGAGGGAGGAGG
rnacentral:rRNA from 1 species